ACUCGACCCCAUGAAGUCGGAGUCGCUAGUAAUCGCAGAUCAGCAACGCUGCGGUGAAUACGUUCCCGGGCCUUGUACACACCGCCCGUCACGUCAUGAAAGUUGGUAACACCCGAAGCCAGUGGCCUAAACUUGUUAGGGAGCUGUCGAAGGUGGGAUCGGCGAUUGGGACGAAGUCGUAACAAGGUACCCGUACCGGAAGGUGCGGGUGGAUCACCUCCUUUCUAAGGAG
rnacentral:rRNA from 1 species